UACGUAGGGUCCAAGCGUUAUCCGGAUUUACUGGGUGUAAAGGGCGAGUAGACGGUGUUACAAGUCAGAUGUGAAAACUUGGGGCUCAACUCCAAGACUGCAUCUGAAACUGUGAUACUAGAGUGCAGGAGAGGAAAGUGGAAUUCCUAGUGUAGCGGUGAAAUGCGUAGAUAUUAGGAGGAACACCAGUGGCGAAGGCGACUUUCUGGACUGUAACUGACGUUGAGGCGCGAAAGUGUGGGGAGCAAACAGG
rnacentral:rRNA from 1 species